rnacentral:rRNA from 1 species
UGAGGAAGCUUUGGCAAUGGGGGAAACCCUGACCAAGCGACGCCGCGUGAGGGAAGAAGGCCUUCGGGUUGUAAACCUCUGUCACGUAGGCCGAAGCCCAGUGAACGAAGAGUGAAACUGGGAAGACGUAUCUACGAGAGGAAGCUCCGGCUAAUUCCGUG